rnacentral:lncRNA from 1 species
GGGUUGUAUGGGGAAAGUGAAAGGCAAAAGAAAGAAAAAGCAUUGAGUUCAAAAGUUGAAAAAGAAAAAUGCAUGAGAAAGAAAAGAAAAGAAGAAAAGAAAAAGCAUGUAAAGUGAUCUCAAUGUAAAAAUAAAGGAAAAAGGGAAGAAGUUGGGAAUGAGUGAGUUUGGUUAAAAAGAGAGUGUGCUUGAACUUUGAAUGAUGAUUUAAACUCUUUUAACUCAAGGAUUUUGUAUUCCAGAAAAACCAAUUUUUCUUGAUAGCCCAGCCUCAUUAUAAGCCUUGGAAAAGUCCUUUUGAUGACAUUUGCAUGUGAAGAUUUUGGUUGUUUUAGAUGAAUGGCAAUAUUGUUUUAUGUGACAUGUGAACAGUAGAGAGUAGAGUGACCUCCUAAACACUUGAGUGAUUGAGUGAAAUACUUGCUUGGUGAGAAUUUUUGAAAUCCAUGUUUACAUCUAUGCUUAGUGGAUUAGUCAUUCAUGAACAAAACAUC